GACAGAGGGUGCAAGCGUUAAUCGGAAUUACUGGGCGUAAAGCGUACGUAGGCGGCCUGUUAAGUUGGAUGUGAAAGCCCCGGGCUUAACCCGGGAUGGUCAUUCAAGACUGGCAGGCUAGAGUAGAGUAGAGGUGAGUGGAAUUUCCGGUGUAGCGGUGAAAUGCGUAGAUAUCGGAAGGAACACCAGUAGCGAAGGCGGCUCACUGGACUCAAACUGACGCUGAGGUACGAAAGCGUGGGGAGCAAAC
rnacentral:rRNA from 1 species